AUCACCUGGGGAUCUUGUUACAUUCCGGAUUCUGAUUUAGUAGGUCUGUGAUGGGGCCUGAGAAUUUGCAUUUCUAACAAGUUCCCAGGUGAAG
rnacentral:pre_miRNA from 1 species